GUAAAUUACCACCACCACGAAGACAACAACAACGGAGACGAAAAACCUUCACAAUUUAACAUCCCUUCGAAUGGACACUGUCUAAUUUUGACAAGAGCAGCUUAACAUGCAUCAACAAGAAGUCCUCCAAAAAGAAGGCAUGAAUCAGAGCUGGUACCAAGAAGAAGUUGUGCACAGAUACUGUAGACGUCAGCAAUCCUAUUUAUGAUGAGAAACGUCCGCUGGCAGCAAUAAUUGAAAUUGCAAAUCUAAGUACAGAUCCGAUGUCAAGUUCUACAGAAACAGUUUGACAAGAGCAGCUUAACAUGCAUCAACAAGAAGUCCUCCAAAAAGAAGGCAUGAAUCAGAGCUGGUACCAAGAAGAAGAAGUUGUGCACAGAUACUGUAGACGUCAGCAAUCCUAUUUAUGAUGAGAAACGUCCGCUGGCAGCAAUAAUUGAAAUUGCAAAUCUAAGUACAGAUCCGAUGUCAAGUUCUACAGAAACAGGGUGUUUGUUCCAUACAAUUUCCAUGAGAGGCGCUGGGGAAUGUAAAUGCUGCUAAUGAGACCCUAAGAAUGGAGAUGGAUUGGCUACACCAGUCUGCUGUUAGGCAAACUCAUAAACAAACAAGCAGGCCUACAUCAUCGGAAGGUGAACUGACCCAUCAUUUGUCAACAUAGUGAAUUUAUCAAGAGCGCCACUGACUGACAGAAGGCUGGUAGAUCUGCAUGUAUUGCCGAUUGAUCAGGAUACAACAGAUUCCACAAUCUGCCCAGCUGUACCUUGGCUGAUGCGUGACCAAUUCCCAGACAGUGCCAAUUUCUUCUCCAGAUCCCGAGCUGGUGUAACAUGUAUAAAUGGUUUGGGUAAUGUCCAAGGGAAACUGUCCAUGGCGAGAAACUGCGGUCAGCUGGUUAAUAAGUUACUCGAAAAGCCAUGGUGAUAAGAUCACAUACAAGAUCCAUCCGCCAUCUUGUAUGCAGAAGAAAGCUGUUUUUGAUUUCUACAAAAAAGAAAUGACUGGGCAAGAAACUGUGUCGUACCCACUUCAUUCGCCUUUGGAAGCAAUAUGUAUCAAAUGUCGUCAUCCAGAAGGUCAAGGUUCACGGUUUGCAACAAAUGUCAUAAAAUCAAGUCGAAACUGGUAAAGACAACCAACUAAAUGAAAAGGAAGGCUUUACAUGGGAAAAGAGAAAAACGUCUACGUCAACAAAAGGGUCAUGGAUGGGUACUUGCUUGGUGACAGUGGUUAUGCUUGCCGCCGUUACCUUCUAACGAUGUACCUGAACACACGAUCACCACCACAGGAAAGAUAUAACAGAGCCCUGGUCAAGACUCGAGUUAUUAUUGAACAAACAUACGGUGUGUUGAAGCGCAGGUUUCCUUGCCUUUCAUAUGGCCUUCGUGUACAGCCCCAGCGAUGCUGCCAGAUAAUAUUGACCUGCUCCUUCCUCCACAACUUCGAUCUCGAUAAUGGAUAUAUAUUUGAUCGUCUGGACGUUUUUGAUGUUGAUCAACCAGAUCAUGACUUUCAAAUUCAAAAUCCAGGCAAUGGUCUUCUUUUCAGAGAUGUUUUCGCACAAACAUUCUUUUCCUGACUGAUAUAUUCGGUUUCCGUUUUCAUAAAAGUGCUGUUAUUGUUAUGACAGUAUUUGAGUCUUUGAGGAAAGUAAGAAUCAUUUUGUUUUUAGCUGAACUAAAUGAAGAAUGGAGAACUAUACUACUAUGCAUUAUUAUGUCGGCAGCGGCGUCGGCGUUGGCUGGACAUCUUGUUUAAGAUUUUGCAUAUAUGCACAUUUAAAGCUGCACUCUCACAGAUUGACCAUUUAAGCAACUUUUUUUAUUUUGUGUCUUGGAAAGAGCAAAUUUUUGUCGUAAAUAUCUGCAAACCAAUGAUAUAAGAUUGCUGACAAAAAAAUCAGAUUGUAGAUUUUCAUAUUUCCGUACCAAAAUUAAUGUUUUAUGGCUUAAACCGUUACUAAUGGUUUAAGAAAAAUGCAUAAAAUAUCAAUUUUUGAACUUUUAUAUAACAAUCAGCCAUCUGAUUUUUUGUCAGCAGUCUUCUAUAAAUGGUUUACAUGGAUUUUCUCAAAAAUUGGCUUGUUCCAGGACAAAAAAUCCAAAAAGUUGUCAAAACGUUCAACCUGUGAGAGUGCAGCUUAAAGCCAUUAUCUCUAGUAACUACAUCAUUUACUGCAUUGAAACUUUGGAUAUGUAUUCCCAUCUAUAUAACUUACCAAAUUAAGGUAUUAGCCGCGUAAUACACACUUUUUUAAAAGCUUUAACCGACAACAUAGUUAUAAUCACGGUACACUAUGGGACUUUUAUCCAAAUUUUGAAGAUUUUUUACCGUGAAUUAAAAAAGUUAUUUAUGUUUCAUUACACCCACCCCCAAACUCCAAGGGCUACAAAGAGCGACAAGUAAAUAUUUUGUCUAUAUUUGAUUUUUUUUCGCAUUAUCAGAGAUUAUGAAAUAAACACAACAGUUUCUGGUAAAAUAAACUUCAGUUAACAGAAAACUAAAGUUUAAACGAACACAUUAUUCAUACACAUGGAAAAAAAUCAUUUUGAUUGAUCUUAUGAUUUUUCGGAAAAGAGCAGUUUUUCGAUGUUUGAAAAUAUAUCGCAGUUUUAUAAAAUUCAUAAAAAAUAGUUAACUAUAAGGCAAGCUGCUGAAAUCAUUUUAGAUAUUAUCUAUGAUGUCUAUUGAACAAUUUAAAAGACAAUUUAUGAUAGUUUACCGUCCAGUUUUGAAGAAAAUAUACAUAAUGUCAUGUUACCAUACAUUUUUAUAGCUAAUAAAAUGCUUAAAAAUCAACCUUUUUCUUGUAAAAAAUUAUAAAGCUUAAUUGGACUUAUUCAUAAAAUGUACUCUUUCAAAUAAAUGAAUUUUACUUAUGAUACUUACACAGAAUACAGAGUUUAAAACAAAUGAGUGUACUUUUAAACUAAAAUAUGUGAAGAAACAAGAACACUAAAUGGGCUCGCCACUCCAAAAAUAUCAGAGUGAAAGUUCUCAACUAAUGUUUUUGUUUAAUAUUAUAACAUGUAAACAAUCUCUGUGGGUAAUUUGAUGUAUAUCUGUUUUAUUUUGUCAUUGGUAUUCUAACAAUUAGUUUUUUCACAAUAAUUCUUCACUCUUCAAUAUUUGAAGUUUGGUCUGUUCCCAUGCUUUGUACUUGUAGUGUGUGCACAGAUGAUAACUACUCAAUGCUGAUUUGGUUUUCAUGCACCUUCAGGUACUUUACCCAUCAAGAAUGUUUAGUGCUGUAAAGGAAAAAAGUUGUACUUUAAAGCCUUUCUAACUAAUUAGUAUAGAUAAUUAUACUGCCAUACAUAUAUACAAAAUAAAAUAUAAACAGUUUAAUAUUUCUCGACAUUAUUUUGAAAAAACAACAACAAGCUGAUACAUACAUGUAUAUAUAUAAAGAAAAUUAUUAAAUUUAUCAAUAAAAUUCAUCAUCAUCAUCAUCAUCAUCAUCAUCAUCAUCAUCACCACCACCACCACCACCACUUGAUUAUUGAAUACAGUAGGUUUAUAAAAACAAAAACCAAGUCAAAUAUGUUUUAUAUGAAAUACUCACAUCAUCUCGAUCAGAUGCGACUGCCUUGUGGAUGGACAUGGCUGUCAAAUCCGCUCUCAAGGAUCCAACAUAGUAUUUAAUGCAGGCUGGAAUUCUUCAUAACCCAGUGUUGUUGACUAAGUAAUAUUCAGUCAUUUUCCUGCCUGGAAGAAAUUAGACUUCUGAUUAUCAACCAGCAGAAACUACCACCGUAAAAUACAAAUGCACAAGUAUUAUACAUUCUGCACUAAAACUGUUUUAGCCAAGAGUAAGGGUUGGUAGGCACAAAUGUGUAGUUGUUGUGCAUAUGGUUGAUAAUGAUUCACAACAGUAUGGGGUUUUAACGAGACCUACACCAAGCCAAUGAAUGUCAAUAGUGUCCUAGCAGAUGCGGCUUCAAGCCCCAAACCACAUACAACUUUUAUUCACAGGUUAAUUUUGAAAAUAUGCAUUUCGUAAAGAAAAUAACGGGUAUGUACAUGUAUUGUGGUAUGUUAGAAAUAGGUCACGUACCAAAACACAUCAUUUUUAAACAAAAUUUUAAGUCUAAUUCUUUUCUAAGAUAAAACAAUCAAUUUAAAGAUUACAUACUCAUAUUAUAUCUUAAACAUAAGUUAUGUACAUAAGUACAUAUAAAAAUAUGUAACAUGUACAUAAGUACAUGUAAAAUAUAAACAUGCUGUCUAAACAUUUAGCUAAUCAAAAUGAUUUAAGAGUUCCAAAGAUAAAUUAAAAAAACAAACGUUUUUGAACACAUCAACGUACAUAACUGCUCAAGGAUACUUACAUUCAGAGCCCUUUGAUACGAAUAUCCCAGUUCCAUGCCGAUUGUUGACAGUUCGUUUUUUCGAGAGAAAAUCUUCUCUUACGCGUAUAUUUCACUUAUAAUCCAUGUUUAACUGUAAUGACUCAAAUUGUUAGAUGUAUCGUAAACAACCGUCAGCGUGUACUUUUAGUGUUUAUUUAUUUUAAACGUAUAUUCAUGAGAAAAAUAUCACAAUGUUUCCAAAUCCUACGAUGUAGAAAUUCCAUUAUUGACCUAUGAAUAGCCGGGAAAUACCUUCUGUUUCUAAAAAUAGCAACAUCCGGUACAGGCCGAAUACGCCCGAUGUUCGUCGCGAUCUGUUACGGCGAGUGGCGAUAUAUGUCGAUGUUACCCGAUGUUUCCCGAGUUGUAUUACAUGGCUAAUACCUUAAUGAAGUAAGAUAACACUUAUUUGAGUAUAGUGCAAAUGGGCCUUUAUUAUUUGACUUUGAAAUUCUGGUAAAGGUUUUGCAUGUAGGCACACAUAGGUCGAUAUCUCAGCAACUACUUGAUGUAUCGUGUUUCAUUGAGAUUUUAUACGAUGGCACUAAACCAUCCAAUAUACUAAAAAAACAAGUAAAAUAACUAUAGUUUGCAUUAAGUUUGGCAUCACUCUAAUCCAAUUUAAAGUGAUCCAUGCAUGUUUCGCCAAAACUUUUCACUCAAGCGACGGAAUAGUCGAACGCACUGUCUCUGUGACAGCUCUUGUUAAUAAUUGCUUCGAAAUGUUUUCCACCAAAUCUGGUUGUCAAUCCCUGUUUCAUUUGAUAUCAUUAUAUACAUGUCUUAUUUUCAAUUGGAAUGCUGAUAGUUUAAGAGAAAUUGCAUUUUCUCUUAAUGUUUUUUGCUCAUCUGAUGAUAAUUUGCUAAUUCCGAGGAGUGUGAUGUUUCCAUUGCUAGUCUUUCGAGACAUAUCAAAUAUUACUGUUCCAAUGGUGUUUUAUGCAUAAGCCCAUAUCCUUGAUACUUUUGUUUAAAAAUAUUUAUUUCUGUAAUAAAUCUUUCUAAAAUAA